UGGUAGAAAGGUGCUGCUCCUCGG
rnacentral:misc_RNA from 1 species